UACGGAAGGCAGCAGGGGGAAUAUUGCACAAUGGGCGCAAGCCUGAUGCAGCCAUGCCGCGUGUAUGAAGAAGGCCUUCGGGUUGUAAAGUACUUUCAGUCGUGAGGAAGGUGUUAAGGUUAAUAACCUUAGCAAUUGACGUUAGCGACAGAAGAAGCACCGGCUAACUCCGUGCCAGCAGCCGCGGUAAUACGGAGGGUGCGAGCGUUAAUCGGAAUUACUGGGCGUAAAGGGCACGCAGGCGGUUAAUUAAGUUGGAUGUGAAAUCCCCGGGCUUAACCUGGGAAUGGCAUUCAAGACUGGUUAGCUAGAGUCUUGUAGAGGGGGUAGAAUUCCAUGUGUAGCGGUGAAAUGCGUAGAGAUGUGGAGGAAUACCGGUGGCGAAGGCGGCCCCUGGACAAAGACUGACGCUCAUGUGCGAAAGCGUGGGGAGCAAACAGGGAUUAGAUACCCGU
rnacentral:rRNA from 1 species